rnacentral:lncRNA from 1 species
AAAAAGAUUUAUUUUUUAUUAAAUCAAUUAAUUAAUUUAUUUACCCCUUUCCCCCCCUGUGGCUUGCUUGCUGUCUGCUCUCUGUGUCUGUUCGCUGCGCCUUCUUCUGUGUCUGUUUGUCUCCCUUUGUUGUGUCAUCUUGCUGCGCUGGCUUUCCGAGGGCAUGGGCCCUCAGCUCUCCACAGGCACAAGCCGUCAACUCUCCAUGGGCACAGGCCCUCAGCUCUCCACGGGCACGGGCCCUCAGCUCUCCACGGGCACAGGCCCUCAGCUCUCCGCGGGCACGGGUCCUCAGUUCUCUGCAGGUGUGGGCCGUCAGCUCUCCAUGGGCACAGGCCAUCAUCUCUCCACGGGGCACAGGCCGUCAGCUCUCCAUGGGCACAGGCCCUCAGCUCUCCACAGGCAUGGGCCAUCAGCUCUCCACGGGGCAUAGGCCAUCAGCUUCCACGGGGCACAGGCCGUCAGCUCUCCAUGGGCAUAGGCCAUCAGCUUCCACGGGGCACAGGCCGUCAGCUCUCCACGGGCACAGGCCGUCAGCUCUCUGCGGGCGCAGGCUGUCAGCUGUCCAUGGGCACGGGCCCUCAGCUCUCCAUAGGCAUGGGCCGUCAGCUCUCUGUGGGGCGCAGGCCGUCAGCUCUCCACGGGCACAGGUCACACAGGCAGGCCUGCCUUCACAAGGAGGCCCCAGGACGCAAACCCAGGGCCUCCAAUAUGGUAGAUGGGAGCCCAAUUGAUCAAGCUACAGCCACUUCCCCUGAGGUGCCCUUUUUAAAGGAAAGCUUCCCACCUGCAGGGGGAGAUAAAGCAUAGGGUGGGCACCUAUGGCAGAUGGAGGGAAACCGGAGCCAGCUCUGGAGGGAAAAACCCAGAGAACAUUCUAGCAAAUGCAAGACUCCUCUGAGGAGCAGUGAGUCAGGAGGCAAGCCGUCUACUCCAGCGCACACUCACCAGACGGGCUCUGGGGCCAAGGGAGAGGCUGGGAGAGCCUGGCUGAGGCACGGAGAGCAGCGUCUUGUACCCUAGCUCUGCACUGCCUCGGGGCUGGAGCCCAGGCUGAGGCCAAACCUGCAGAACAGGGUGUCCUGGGACUCGGGCUCAGCAGUUCUGGCUGUGCCAAGCCUCAUUCCCCUUGGGGACCCCUCCCCUGGGCUCCCCAGUCUGGGCAGGUGUUCCCCUCUGCUUGUGUCCUGAGGCUGAUGGCUGGAAACUUCCCUGGGGCCUUCCAAGGAGGCUGGUGCUCAACUUCAAGCAGGGACCCAGCACUGAGGCCUGGGCAGAGAGAGGGUGCCGGGCAGGGGACGAGGGAAGCCCAGCCUGAGGACAGAGGGGGCUGCCACCGGGGCAGCCGGAGCUCGCCCAGGCCACAGCGUGGUGGGGGACCUUGGGGAAUGGCCUCUGCAGACCUGGGGCCUGGGUUACAUGUGCCCCCAAAUGGCAGAAUGAUGUCCCAGAAAGCCUGGCUUUGGAACCGGAGAGUCCCAGGUUCAAAUCCCUGCUCAGCCACUUUCAAGCUGUUGUGGCCUUGGGCGUGGUGCUUCACCUCUCUGAGCCUCUGGUUCCUCGUCUGUGUAUCAGAGCAAUGGUUGCUGUAAGGACUAAAUAAGUGUAUGUGAAUCUAGCACAGCACCCGGCACACAGCAAUUAAGUCAGGAUCUCUUUUACCUAACAACGAAGACACAACCUUGAGUGGGGCAGGAGGGAGAGCACAGCACAGAGCUGGAAAUCUAUUUGAGCUAGAAAUCUAUCCUUUACUCCAUAUCCAGACACCAAAAUGUACCUCUAGUUUUACCAUUAUCCAAGUGACGGCAGCAAAAAGUCAGAUAAGAAACCACAGGCAGCUGAGAUCCGGGGCCCCUGAGCAAGUUGCUGCAAUAUGCAUUAUGGCAAGUUGGGGAGAGAUGGUUCCUAGAGCCCUGCCACCAAGGAGGGACAGAGACUCGAAAGCUGAACUUAACUGACAUGUACGUAAAAGGGAAAAGCCUCACGGGGCGAGCUCGGGGCCCAGGAGGACCAGCAGCAUGCCCUGCGGCAGGCGGCGCUGGGACGCAGGAGAGCUCUUUGGAGGUGAAAGCCAUUCUCUUCCUCUCUGUCCCGGUGACCCACCGCCACUCCACAGGCUGCCUGGAGACAGGGAGCCGCCGUCGGCGUCUCUACCUGGCCAGGGGCUCCCCUGGGAUGUGAGGCCGGAAAAUGAGCGUCAGAGGACCUCAGGGCUGGGGUGUCCCCCUGAGGUCACCGAAUGUGGCUGCCUGCCCUCGCUCAGGGCUGCGCUCCCUGGAUUCUCUCAGGGAGACACCGAGGAGAGACUGUGAUCGCUGGGGACAGACGCAGGAGCCUGACGGAGGAGGAUGGUGGGAAGCAGCGCACGCUGUGACCACCCACCCUGCCCCGGGGCUGGCCGGCCGAUGGCAGGGCCCCGGCCACGAUUCCAGAAGCCCGCAAGGUCCUUCUCCCUGGUUGCAAAGGUUAGGGAGGCUCUCGGCACUCGUGACCUCUGCACGAGGCCGAAGCGUCCGCGGCGGCUGCUUGGCUGAGUGACGACGUGGGCAUUGAGAGCUGGCAGCUGUCUGCGGGCACCAUCUGGAGGCUCGGCCGUCAUCCCGCUGGGGACCGGUGGCUGCCUCUGGACAAUUAAUGUGUCCCCCCGUUGGUCGUCAAGAACGCUCAUGUCUCCCAAGACCGCGGUGGCAAAUCUAACCUUUUUUUACAAUUGUCCCCAAACACACUCAAAACCUUCCUGACGGGCGCUCGGUGACAGAGGGAGAAUGUCUGUUGUUUCUUUCUUCUCCGACAAAGCCAGCCCCUUGCUGAGCCUCUCCCCGCUGUCUUCUAGGGAAGGGGCUGCCUGGGCGGGGAGCGGGGCGUGCUGUGACAAUGACCUUCCGUAAGGGAAGGAAGAAAAAGGGUCCUUUCCAUCCUGCUUUCCAUCCUGGCUUUUACUUGGGAGUUUUCUUGGCUGCCAGGAAUUUUGCAGUUUAAGGAAAUAGACUCAGGCAGAAGCACAUGCAGGCCUGCAAGAGAGCACGAGACCCAAGCUGGGUUUAAAAUACAGGCCCGGCUUGCACUCAGCUCCAAGAGCUUCUGGAUUUUCUCUGAGGGCAGUUCUUCUGCCCUCAGAGAUCUGCCAGGGGAGCGCUGGGUAGAGGGCAGAGAGAGCACUGAGCUGGGAGUCACGAAGCCGCCUUUUUGCUGACCUCUCCGUCGGCUCGCUCCGGGGCAAUGGCCACGCAGCCCCCUCCUCAUCCUAUUUUAGGUGCAGCCCAGUCUUCUUCCUCUCUCCGAUUUCACAAUUUUUUCAAAGAAAGCACAUCUUCACUUUGGCGGCCUGAAAAGUUAACUGCCUGGCAGAAGUGAUUUUUAAACACACCCUCUCCUCUUUUUAAAAAAGGAAGAGAUAAAAUAAAAUGUAUGAGUCAUUAAAAAAUAAAGAAAAGAAAGUCCAUCCAGCAGAUAAAGCCCAGACCCCCACCCCACCCCCACCAUGUACCAGUAAUUGCCCCAUUCCUAGGUUUUCUGAUGCAUUCGGGUCUCAGAAGGGGCCGGUGUCUGGAGGUGUCACUUCUAAGUCACACUAGGGACAUUCUAUGGGCCUUCCAGAGGCCUCCAGCAGCAUUCCAAGGUGCCGAAUGGAAAACCAAGACUGGGUUGGGAACGCUACGUAGGAAAGCUGCCCUUGCCCGCCUGCAGGUCUGAUAAGUUUGCCUAAAAACAAGACACAGGAGUGAUGAUUUACUGCCCGUAAGAGGUCGCCAGGCCACGUCCAUCUCUCCACGUGGCUGGCUGGGCCCUCUGGUCUCAUGCUCUUGGAAUGCAGUUUCGAGAACCGCCCCCUCUGUUUACGAAGGGCAUUGCACCUCGGCGAGCUGGAACCCAGGCUCCCAAUUUUUCCCAGUCGGCUUGAUCACAGGAUGGAAUAUCUGAAAUCGGGGCCGCCGGGAGAAAUUCCGGAAGCACCGGUGGCUGCGUGUGAAGCAACCACGAGAAAUUCCAGAAGCACCGGUGGCUGCGUGUGAAGCAACCACGCGUGGGGUCAGAACCUGCGGGCCCAGGACGUGGCAGC